rnacentral:rRNA from 1 species
AUUGAACGCUGGCGGAAUGCUUACACAUGCAAGUCGAACGGCAGCACGGGGCAACCUGGUGGCGAGUGGCGAACGGGUGAGUAAUAUAUCGGAACGUGCCCAAUCGUGGGGGAUAACGUAGCGAAAGUUACGCUAAUACCGCAUACGAUCUACGGAUGAAAGCGGGGGAUCGCAAGACCUCGCGCGAAUGGAGCGGCCGAUAUCAGAUUAGGUAGUUGGUGGGGUAAAGGCUCACCAAGCCAACGAUCUGUAGCUGGUCUGAGAGGACGACCAGCCACACUGGAACUGAGACACGGUCCAGACUCCUACGGGAGGCAGCAGUGGGGAAUUUUGGACAAUGGGCGCAAGCCUGAUCCAGCCAUUCCGCGUGCAGGAUGAAGGCCUUCGGGUUGUAAACUGCUUUUGUACGGAACGAAACGGUCUGCCCUAAUACGGCGGGCUAAUGACGGUACCGUAAGAAUAAGCACCGGCUAACUACGUG